rnacentral:lncRNA from 1 species
CCUCUGACACCGGGUUUAGGUAUGUCCUAAUUACUAGGAAAGCCUGUUUGUCUCUGUUGACAGGUGAUGGAUUAUCUGCAGCCACAGUCCCAACAGCGCCUGAGUCCCAGCCAUCUACCCCUGCACCCUCCACAGGUGAUGGAUUAUCGGCAGCCUCAGUCCCAACAGAGCCUGAAUCCCAGCCAUCCACUCCUGCACCCUCCCCAGGUAAGUCCUUGGGAAAUAGGGAAGGACUAACAUUUACUGAAGAACCAAAUAUAAUAUGCAGCGAUCA